rnacentral:sRNA from 1 species
GAACCUGCGGAAGGAUCAUUCGCACGCAUCCAAUUGAACCACUGUGCAUCUUGACGUGAGGUUCUGAGUAGGGAGCAAUUACCAACUCGGAAACUCAAGGGCAGCAGUGUGGGGUUACCUUCGGCUAGCCUCAUUCCUGCUGUCGGGUUCCACUUGAACUUUUACUUUGUGCUUCCAUGCUUUCUUGUGAGUGGCUCUCCACUCCCAUUCAAAUUCACAACUUUCAGCGACGGAUGUCUCGGCUCGAACAACGAUGAAGGGCGCAGCGAAGUGUGAUAAACAUUGUGAAUUGCAGAAUUCCGUGAACCAAUAGGGAUUUGAACGUAUACUGCGCUUUCGGGAUAUCCCUGAAAGCAUGCCUGCUUCAGUGCCUCUACCUUCUAAUGCCAGUAGCUUCAUGCUCCUUCUUGGUGCUAGCUGCUUGUGCGUAUUUGUGCGUCAGAUUGCGCUUUCGAGUGCGUUUGACGCAUUGAGCACGUGGGGAACCUUUGCUUAUCAAUCAACUCAUUGAGUGUCCUCGGAUGCAUCAUCUGUUGCAUUGUUUGCGAAGGUCGCCUCAACAACCAAGUGCUGUUCAUCAGCCUUCCUCCAAGGCAUGAAGUUAGGUCAGCAAACCCGCUGAACUUAAGCAUAUAAGUAAGCGGAGGACAAGAAACUAAACAGGAUUCCCUUAGUAAUGGCGAAUGAACAGGGAUGAGCUCAGCAUGGAAAUCGGGGUCUCCCGACCUUGAAUUGUAGUCUGUAGAUGUACUGCCAACGGAGGCGCAGAUGUAAGCCUCUUGGAAAAGAGCAUCAACGAGGGUGAGAGUCCCGUUUGUCAUCUGCAGUCCCCCGUGCACGGUGUGCCUUCUAAGAGUCACGUUCCUCGGGAUUGGAGCGCAAAGUGGGUGGUAAAUUUCAUCUAAAGCUAAAUAUUGGUUCGAGACCGAUAGCAAACAAGUACCAUGAGGGAAAGGUGAAAAGGACUUUGAAAAGAGAGUUAAAAGUGCCUGAAAUUGCUGAAAGGGAAGCGAAUGGAACCAGUGUUCUUGAUGAGAUUGUUGCGUACUCUGGUGAUUGCUGGGUGUUCCACCGCAAGGGGGGCAUUUAGUUUUGAGCUAGAUGUGCGUGGUGUUUCUUGUCUUGUGUGUCACCGUCGGUGCACGAGCGAGUAAACCUCCAGGGGGCUGGUAGCUCGACCAUGGUUGAGUGAAUACCUUUGGCAGUACUCAUUUGUGUAUCGAUCCCUGCGUGUCUGGUUGCAGUGUUUGGGUCGCCUGGAAACUUCUGAGGGGCUUGUCCUUGAAGGAGUCCUUCUGGGCGCCCUGAGCAUCUCCCUGACACAAAGACGAUGACUAAAUGGUUCUAUUCGACCCGUCU